rnacentral:rRNA from 1 species
AUGUCGGCCUGGCACGUGCCGGCGAUGCGCAGGAGGCUGGAGGACGACCGCGCCCGACCGGCGGCGGCGUUCCCGCCAAGAGACAGCAGGACGAGGUCGCAGGUGCCGGUGGUGAAGGGGAACUCGUGCUUGUUGUGGAGCACGUGGGUGACGGCCAUGGCCGUGGGGUUGGCCACGCCGGUGCCGGUCCUGCCAGCCGUCGCGGCGGCACGCAGCCUGGUGUGCCCGUCGAGGGACGCCACCUCGGCCGGCCCCACCCCGCACGCGGUCGCGCAGACCUGCCAGAGCGGGAAGUCGAACGCCUCGGCCUCGACGACAUCGGCGCGGGAGAAGACGAACGCCCCGCACGCGGCC